UACGGAGGGUGCAAGCGUUGUCCGGAUUUAUUGGGUUUAAAGGGUGCGUAGGCGGCCCGUUAAGUCAGCGGUGAAAGCCCGGGGCUCAACCCCGGAACCGCCGUUGAUACUGGCGGGCUUGAGUAUGGACGAGGUUGGCGGAAUUGAGGGUGUAGCGGUGAAAUGCAUAGAUAUCUUCCAGAACCCCGAUUGCGUAGGCAGCUGACUAGGCUGGUACUGACACUGAGGCACGAAAGCGUGGGGAGCGAACAGG
rnacentral:rRNA from 1 species